rnacentral:rRNA from 1 species
AUUGAACGCUGGCGGCAGGCCUAACACAUGCAAGUCGAGCGAGCGGCGGACGGGUGAGUAAUGUCUGGGAAACUGCCGGAUGGAGGGGGAUAACUACUGGAAACGGUAGCUAAUACCGCAUACCAUCAGAUGUGCCCAGAUGGGAUGGGCUAGUAGGUGGGGUAACGGCUCACCUAGGCACCGAUCCCUAGCUGGUCUGAGAGGAUGACCAGCCACACUGGAACGGAGACACGGUCCGGACUCCGACGGUAGGCGGCAGUGGGGAAUAUUGCAAAUUGGGCGAAAGCCGGAUGCAGCCAUGCCGGGUGUGUGAAGAAGGCCUUCGGGUUGUAAAGCACUUUCAGCGGGGAGGCGUUACCCGCAGAAGAAGCACCGGCUAACUCCGUGCCAGCAGCCGCGGUAAUAC